UGCGGAAGGAUCAUUGUCGUGACCCUGACCAAAACAGACCGUGAACGCGUCAUCUUGCCUGCCAGCGGUGGCCCUGCCGUCGCUUGGCCAAAGUCCUCGAUAACCUCCUCUUCUCGGAGCGGGGGCUCGGGGUAAAAGAACCCACGGCGCCAAAGGCGUCAAGGAACACUGUGCCUAACCCGGGGAAGCGGCUUGCUUGCUAGCUGCCCCUCGUGUUGCAAAGCUAUUUAAUCCACACGACUCUCGGCAACGGAUAUCUCGGCUCUCGCAUCGAUGAAGAACGUAGCGAAAUGCGAUACCUGGUGUGAAUUGCAGAAUCCCGCGAACCAUCGAGUCUUUGAACGCAAGUUGCGCCCGAGGCCACUUGGCCGAGGGCACGCCUGCCUGGGCGUCACGCCAAACACGCUCCCACCUCUCAUCGGGUGGUGGGAUGCGGCAUGUGGCUCCCCGUCUCGCAAGGGGCGGUGGGCCGAAGAUGCGGCUGCCGGCGUAUCGUGCCGGACACAGCGCGUGGUGGGCGAACUCGUUUUACUUACCGCAGUGCAUCCGGCCCGUAGCCGACGUGAUGGCCUUAAGGACCCAAUGAAUGGAGCGCAUGACGCUCUGACCGCGACCCCAGGUCAGGCGGGACUACCCGCUGAAUUUAAGCAUAUAAAUAAG
rnacentral:rRNA from 1 species